rnacentral:rRNA from 1 species
AGUCGAGCGAACAGACGAGGAGCUUGCUCCUCUGACGUUAGCGGCGGACGGGUGAGUAACACGUGGAUAACCUACCUAUAAGACUGGGAUAACUUCGGGAAACCGGAGCUAAUACCGGAUAAUAUAUUGAACCGCAUGGUUCAAUAGUGAAAGACGGUUUUGCUGUCACUUAUAGAUGGAUCCGCGUCGCAUUAGCUAGUUGGUAAGGUAACGGCUUACCAAGGCAACGAUGCGUAGCCGACCUGAGAGGGUGAUCGGCCACACUGGAACUGAGACACGGUCCAGACUCCUACGGGAGGCAGCAGUAGGGAAUCUUCCGCAAUGGGCGAAAGCCUGACGGAGCAACGCCGCGUGAGUGAUGAAGGUCUUCGGAUCGUAAAACUCUGUUAUUAGGGAAGAACAAAUGUGUAAGUAACUAUGCACGUCUUGACGGUACCUAAUCAGAAAGCCACGGCUAACUACGUGCCAGCGGCCGCGGUAAUACGUAGGUGGCAAGCGUUAUCCGGAAUUAUUGGGCGUGAAGCGCGCGUAGGCGGUUUUUUAAGUCUGAUGUGAAAGCCCACGGCUCAACCGUGGAGGGUCAUUGGAAACUGAAAAACUUGAGUGCAGAAGAGGAAAGUGGAAUUCCAUGUGUAGCGGUGAAAUGCGCAGAGAUAUGGAGGGACACCAGUGGCGAAGGCGACUUUCUGGUCUGUAACUGACGCUGAUGUGCGAAAGCGUGGGGAUCAAACAGGAUUAG